GUGAGGAAUAUUGGUCAAUGGGCGAGAGCCUGAACCAGCCAAGUCGCGUGAAGGAAGAAGGAUCUAUGGUUCGUAAACUUCUUUUGCAGGGGAAUAAAGUGCAGGACGUGUCCUGUUUUGUAUGUACCCUGAGAAUAAGGAUCGGCUAACUCCGUGCCAGCAGCCGCGGUAAUACGGAGGAUCCGAGCGUUAUCCGGAUUUAUUGGGUUUAAAGGGUGCGUAGGUGGUUUGAUAAGUCAGAGGUGAAAGUUUGCAGCUUAACUGUAAAAAUGCCGUUGAAACUGUCGGACUUGAGUGUAAAUGAGGUGGGCGGAAUGCGUGGUGUAGCGGUGAAAUGCAUAGAUAUCACGCAGAACUCCGAUUGCGAAGGCAGCUUACUAAGCUACAACUGACACUGAAGCACGAAAGCGUGGGGAUCAAACAGGAUUAGAUACCCGGUAGUCC
rnacentral:rRNA from 1 species